rnacentral:rRNA from 1 species
UUGGGGUUUAAAAGUGCGCGUAGGCGGCUUGGUCAGUCAGGCGUGAAAUUCCUGGGCUUAACCUGGGGGACUGCGCUUGAUACGGCUAGGCUUGAGGCCGAGAGAGGGUGGUGGAAUUCCCCAGUGUAGAGGUGAAAUUCGUAGAUAUUGGGAAGAACACCGGUGGCGAAGGCGACCACCUGGCUCGGUUCUGACGCUGAGGCGCGACAGCGUGGGGAGCAAACAGGAUUAGAUACCCGAGUA